AAAAUAUUUAGCAUCAAAUCCUUAUCUGUUUCAAUCAAAAUGGCCGGAGAUCAAGGAGUACGAUUCACCAAUCGUCAAUCUUUUCUUCUUAACCUCUAAACGUCACAAUCCAAAAUCGUUUCCGAUCUGUUCCGUUGUGUUGCACCACCACAGUUACUCGCCAUCGUGGAACUACCUAGACCGCACGUCGCCGUUUUCAACCGUCCCACACACACCAACGCCACCGCUUUGAACCCGCCGUACGGUCCGCUGUAACUACACACGCCUUCCAGCACCAUGGCGCCCGUUUGCAUACUUUUUGUGGAUGACUUGAUUUGUAAUAUGGGAUGAUCUGGGGUUUCAGUCAGGAGCGUUAGGAAGUUGCUGGCAACGACUAUUUAUUUCAGUAAUGUAAUAAAUGUGAUUAGGAUCUUUUAUUUAAUGUUAUGGAUCG
rnacentral:lncRNA from 1 species